CCUACGGGGGGCAGCAGUGGGGGAUAUUGCACAAUGGGGGAAACCCUGAUGCAGCGACGCCGCGUGGGUGAAGAAGCGCCUCGGCGCGUAAAGCCCUGUCAGCAGGGAGGAAAAUGACGGUACCUGAAGAAGAAGCCCCGGCUAACUACGUGACAGCAGCCGCGGUAAUACGUAGGGGGCAAGCGUUAUCCGGAUUUACUGGGUGUAAAGGGGGCGCAGACGGCGAUGCAAGCCAGGAGUGAAAGCCCGGGGCCCAACCCCGGGACUGCACUUGGAACUGCGUGGCUAGAGUGCAGGAGGGGCAGGCGGAAUGCCUGGUGUAGCGGUGAAAUGCGUAGAUAUCAGGAGGAACACCGGUGGCGAAGGCGACCUGCUGGACUGCAACUGACGUUGAGGCCCGAAAGCGUGGGGAGCAAACAGGAUUAGAUACCCUUGUAGUC
rnacentral:rRNA from 1 species